rfam:Brassica oleracea var. oleracea cultivar TO1000 chromosome C7, whole genome shotgun sequence
GGAAUAUAAGAAUCCGUCUUUUAGUUUCUAACUAAAAAAACUAAAAAUCGAUUCUUAAAUAAGACAUUUAAGAGUCGGUUUUUAGUUUUUUUAGUUAAAAAUUAAGAGACGGAUUUUUAUAUUCU